rnacentral:rRNA from 1 species
CCUACGGGAGGCAGCAGUGAGGAAUAUUGGUCAAUGGACGAGAGUCUGAACCAGCCAAGUAGCGUGAAGGAUGACUGCCCUAUGGGUUGUAAACUUCUUUUAUAUGGGAAUAAAAUGUUCCACGUGUGGGAUUUUGUAUGUACCAUAUGAAUAAGGAUCGGCUAACUCCGUGCCAGCAGCCGCGGUAAUACGGAGGAUCCGAGCGUUAUCCGGAUUUAUUGGGUGUAAAGGGAGCGUAGGUGGAUUGGUAAGUCAGUUGUGAAAGUUUGCGGCUCAACCGUAAAAUUGCAGUUGAAACUAGCAGUCUUGAGUACAGUAGAGGUGGGCGGAAUUCGUAGUGUAGCGGUGAAAUGCUUAGAUAUCACGAAGAACUCCGAUGGCGAAGGCAGUUCACUGGACUGCAACUGACACUGAGGCUCGAAAGUGUGGGUAUCAAACAGGAUUAGAUACCCGUGUAGUC